GGGCACGUAGGUUAAUGUGGGCACGACUGUGCAAAUCCUUGUGGAUAUAUUUAAUGUUAGAGGAAUUGUCCAUUUCGGCGGUGCAGCAUCGGUAAAUGAAUCUGUGGUCAUUGGUGAUGUUUCAGUGCCUGAUCAAGUUGCUUACACAGCAGCGUGGAGCUGGAGGAAUUCUUCGACAGAUGAAGUUCAGCCAUUCCUUAAAGAUAUGGUUUAUGGGAAUUUGAGUUUUGGAGAUUUUAAUGUUCCCCAAAAGGGAGAUAAUUUACUAGGACGCAUCUUUUAUUGGGCAUCGACAUGGUUCACUGGUCAGCAAACACAGAACAGAGGUUUUUGGCUUCCCGUAAACCCAGAUUGGCUAAGGAUUGCAUCUCAGAUCCAGGGUUUGAAGUUGGAAACCCAUGUGAAUGAAACUGUGUACGUACCUUACAAACCAGUAGUUCAAUUCGGAUUAAAGGCCGGUACUGCUGAUUUGUUCAUUGUAAACGAAGCAUAUGGUGAUUUCCUUCA